CCCGGGGAGCUCAGGACGCCGGCAGAGUGGGUGAGAAUGUUGCUCUGGGAGGAGAAUAUUCUCUGGGCGGGUCGGCCAACUACAGCCCUAAACCUAUGUGAACAGUUCUCUGGAACCAUCUAAAGACUCCCGUGCGUCCCGGGUGAGAAGGCUGCAGGAUGCAGGGGGGUGUGUGUGUUUAACAAUGAGACUUGGCCCAGAGGAAAGAAGUUGCCAACACAUGCAGAUCUCCACCAGCUUAUGUCACCUCUGCGCUGCACAACACCACAUGCAUGGCCGCGCCUGCCUUCCAAAAUAAUGGGAUAAUGGGUGCAACGUGCAUCACCCCACCCCUUAGAGAGAGCGUGCCAGUCGGUCUUUGUGGAAUGCACAGGGAGCAGGGCGAGCCAGACACCGGUGUCUGCCUUCUCCUUGAUUGCAUCUGUGCCCUACAAACCCCAACAGAAUUGAACUUACAUCUCCUCCUAAUUAGGGGAGAAAGGAAGACAAGAAUGAUAGUAGAAGAAUUUCUGCCUACCUCUGACUGCAAGCUCUUCAGGGACAGAACAUUAAGCUCUCCCUCUGUCCGCCCCCACCCUUCUCUCUCCUGACUGAUACCUGGAGUACCUAACACAGUGCCAGGCCCUCCCUGGGACCAGAGCCCGUGUGUGAUGAGAGUGAUGAAGGGGGGCUGGUUGGAAAAGCUAGACCGCACCAGGACGCUUGUCUCCGGUCUGCUGGUCUGCUGUGAGGCA